rnacentral:pre_miRNA from 1 species
UCCCCCAUCAACUGCUGAACUGUUUUAGGCUUCGUACGAAAGCAUUUCAGACAUUGGUGGACGA